rnacentral:rRNA from 1 species
GAUGAACGCUGGCGGCGUGCCUAAUACAUGCAAGUCGAGCGAACGGACGAGAAGCUUGCUUCUCUGAUGUUAGCGGCGGACGGGUGAGUAACACGUGGAUAACCUACCUAUAAGACUGGGAUAACUUCGGGAAACCGGAGCUAAUACCGGAUGAUAUUUUUAACCGCAUGGUUCAAAAGUGAAAGACGGUCUUGCUGUCACUUAUAGAUGGAUCCGCGCUGCAUUAGCUAGUUGGUAAGGUAACGGCUUACCAAGGCAACGAUGCAUAGCCGACCUGAGAGGGUGAUCGGCCACACUGGAACUGAGACACGGUCCAGACUCCUACGGGAGGCAGCAGUAGGGAAUCUUCCGCAAUGGGCGAAAGCCUGACGGAGCAACGCCACGUGAGUGAUGAAGGUCUUCGGAUCGUAAAACUCUGUUAUUAGGGAAGAACAUAUGUGUAAGUAACUGUGCACAUCUUGACGGUACCUAAUCAGAAAGCCACGGCUAACUACGUG